rnacentral:rRNA from 1 species
AGAGUUUGAUCCUGGCUCAGAUUGAACGCUGACGGCGUGCCUAACACAUGCAAGUCGUGCGAGAAAGUGGGCUUCGGCCCGCGAGUACAGCGGCGCACGAGUGAGUAACACGUGGGUGAUCUCCCUAACAGAUUGGGAUAACAGCGGGAAACUGCUGCUAAUACCGGAUACGAUCCAUUUAAUCGUGGAUGAAAGGCGGCCUCUGCUUGCAAGCUGCCACUGUUAGAUGAGCCCGCGUCCCAUUAGCUUGUUGGCGGGGUAACGGCCCACCAAGGCGACGAUGGGUAGCUGGUCUGAGAGGAUGACCAGCCACACUGGCCCCUGUUACACGGCCCAGACUCCUACGGGAGGCAGCAGUGGGGAAUAUUGCGCAAUGGGCGAAAGCCUGACGCAGCGUCCCCUGUGAGGGAAGAAGGCCUUCGGGUCGUAAACGUUUUCCAAGGAAGAACCCCCAAGGUUCGAAUAGGGCUUGGGCUGACGGUACCUCAGAGAAG